CCUACGGGGGGCAGCAGUGAGGAAUAUUGGUCAAUGGGCGAGAGCCUGAACCAGCCAAGUCGCGUGAGGGAGUACUGCCCUAUGGGUUGUAAACCUCUUUUGUCGGGGAGCAAAAGCCGGACGUGUCCGGCUGUGAGAGUACCCGAAGAAAAAGCAUCGGCUAACUCCGUGCCAGCAGCCGCGGUAAUACGUAGGUGGCAAGCGUUAUCCGGAUUUACUGGGUGUAAAGGGCGUGUAGGCGGGACUGCAAGUCAGAUGUGAAAACCACGGGCUCAACCUGUGGCCUGCAUUUGAAACUGUAGUUCUUGAGUACUGGAGAGGCAGACGGAAUUCCUAGUGUAGCGGUGAAAUGCGUAGAUAUUAGGAGGAACACCAGUGGCGAAGGCAGCAUACCGGCGCGCAACUGACGCUCAUGCACGAAAGCGUGGGUAUCGAACAGGAUUAGAUACCCUUGUAGUC
rnacentral:rRNA from 1 species